AUGUAUUUGCUGUUAUAUUGUCAACUGUAUGCUAUUAUAUUUUAAAUUUCAGAACUGAUAUCAGAUUGUACUACACAAGGUCCAAGAAGACUUUACCAUGUAUGCCAACAGCAAAUCGAUUCCGGUAAUGUUCUCUCUACAUAUCGAUGGGCAAAUAAAUUAAGCCAUCAGUAUGAAGUGGGCAAAUUACACUGGAUUGCUUUUGAUCGUUUCAUAUUGAGAAAUAGACAACAGUGAACGGAAUGAAACAAGCUUCAGCAAGGGCAAUUUCAUAACUGCACUACCAUGACCACGAAUAUUUGUGCUUAGGUACAGCUGGCUUGGUUUGGAAACGUCAACGGGCACGAAAUUCUGUGCAAGACUGUUAUCGAGGCACGUUAUAGGGAGGUCGACGCCGAGGCCGUCAGAAGAAAAGCUGGAUGAAUAAGAUACACAUGAUGACGACCGAAGAGCGAUAUAUUUGUGCCAUAUGCGCCAGAGGGUACAAGCACAGGCGCAAUAUGGUUUACCAUGAAAGAACACACGCUGGGAUGUUACCCUUUAACUGUUGCGGCGUUGGGUUUUCAUCAAGACGACAAUUACAAAGACACAGGUGCAAUGUACACGGUGACGGAAAAAAACUAUCUUUGCCUUUAUUGUGGAAAAGAAUUCGCAACGAAAGAAGAUUUAGAUGCCCACUCGGCCCGGGAACAGCGCACUCGAG